GACGGGCCCGCACAAGCAGCGGAGCGUGUGGUUUAAUUCGAUGUUACACGAAGAACCUUACCAGGGUUUGACAUGCAAGUGGUAGGAAGCCGAAAGGUGACCGACCCUUCGGGGAGCUUGCACAGGUGCCGCAUGGCUGUCGUCAGCUCGUGUCGUGAGAUGUUCGGUUAAGUCCGCUAACGAGCGCAACCCUCGCUGUGUGUUAUAUGUGUCACACGGGACUGCCGGUUUUAAGCCGGAGGAAGGUGGGAUGACGUCAAGUCAGCAUGGCCUUUAUAUCCUGGGCUACACACACGCUACAAUGGUCGGUACAAUAGGUUGCCAAGCCGCGAGGCGGAGCCAAUCCAAAAAAGCCGGCCUCAGUUCAGAUUGUAGGCUGCAACUCGCCUGCAUGAAGAUGGAGUUGCUAGUAACCGCAGGUCAGCAAUACUGCGGUGAAUACGUUCCCGGGUCUU
rnacentral:rRNA from 1 species